rnacentral:rRNA from 1 species
UUGACCUCGGAUCAGGUAGGGAUACCCGCUGAACUUAAGCAUAUCAAUAAGCGGAGGAAAAGAAACCAACAGGGAUUACCUCAGUAACGGCGAGUGAAGCGGUAACAGCUCAAAUUUGAAAGCUGCCAACAGGCCGCGUUGUAAUUUGUAGAAGCUGCUUUGGGUGUCGGCCCGGUCUAAGUUCCUUGGAACAGGACGUCAUAGAGGGUGAGAAUCCCGUAUGUGAUCGGUGCCGUUGCCCGUGUAAAGCGCUUUCGACGAGUCGAGUUGUUUGGGAAUGCAGCUCAAAAUGGGUGGUAAAUUUCAUCUAAAGCUAAAUAUUGGCCAGAGACCGAUAGCGCACAAGUAGAGUGAUCGAAAGAUGAAAAGCACUUUGGAAAGAGAGUUAAACAGUACGUGAAAUUGUUGAAAGGGAAGCGCUUGCAACCAGACUUGCGGGCGGUCGAUCAUCCGAGGUUCUCCCCGGUGCACUCGAUCGUUCUCAGGCCAGCAUCGGUUUCCGGGGUGGGAUAAAGGCGGUGGGAAUGUGGCUCUUCGGAGUGUUAUAGCCCACCGUGCAAUGCCGCCACUGGGGACCGAGGACCGCGCUUCGGCUAGGAUGCUGGCGUAAUGGUUGUAAGCGACCCGUCUUGAAA